AACAAGGUUUCCGUAGGUGAACCUGCGGAAGGAUCAUUACCGAGUUCCGGGCCCCAGUGGCCCGAUCUACUCCAAAACCCUUCAGUAAACUGUACAGUCUGAUCAGAUAUUCAAUAUCUUAAAACUUUCAACAACGGAUCUCUUGGUUCUGGCAUCGAUGAAGAACGCAGCGAAAUGCGAUAAGUAAUGUGAAUUGCAGAAUUCAGUGAAUCAUCGAAUCUUUGAACGCACAUUGCGCCCCUCGGCAUUCCGGGGGGCAUGCCUGUUCGAGCGUCAUUACAACCCUCAAGCUCUGCUUGGUAUUGGGCGUCGUCCUUCAUCGGGCGUGCCUCAAAGGCCUCGGCGGCGGCUUUCCAGCCUCAAGCGUAGUAACACAAUUCUCGCUUUGGAGGGUGGGCGGUCGCCCGCCGGACGAACCUUCUAAUACACAUUUCAAGGUUGACCUCGGAUCAGGUAGGGAUACCCGCUGAACUUAAGCAUAUCAAUAAGCGGAGGA
rnacentral:rRNA from 1 species